GCUGGUUUUGAAGGUUUUUUCAACAAGGUUGAUGUCUUAAAGACGGCAAUAGAAAAGGGCAAGGAGGCAAGGAUCGACAACAGAAGAGAUAAUGAGAAGAAAUAUAGAAAGAGAUGAGUCGGUGAGAUAUCUGAGGAUGUUGCUCAUGCUAGGCUAACAUAUAUUUAUACAGAGAAAGGUAUUACAUUUUUCCUUCUUUGAGGAG
rnacentral:lncRNA from 1 species